rnacentral:rRNA from 1 species
UCCUACGGGAGGCAGCAGUGAGGAAUAUUGCGCAAUGGCCGAAAGGCUGACGCAGCGACGCCGCGUGAAGGAUGAAGUCCGUUAGGAUGUAAACUUCUUUUGCAGGGGAUGAAUGUUCUGACUUCGGUCGGAAUUGACCGUACCCUGCGAAUAAGGAUCGGCUAACUACGUGCCAGCAGCCGCGGUAAUACGUAGGAUCCGAGCGUUGUCCGGAUUUACUGGGUGUAAAGGGCGUGUAGGUGGGUUUCUAAGUCGGUGGUGAAAUCCCGCGGCUCAACCGCGGAACUGCCAUCGAUACUGGGAAUCUUGAGUUCGGCAGAGGGAGAUGGAAUUCAUGGUGUAGCGGUGAAAUGUGUAGAUAUCAUGAAGAACACCGGUAGCGAAGGCGGUCUCCUGGUCCGAUACUGACACUGAGGCGCGAAAGCGUGGGGAGCAAACAGGAUUAGAUACCCCGGU